rnacentral:rRNA from 1 species
CAAUAGCGUAUAUUUAAGUUGCUGCAGUUAAAAAGCUCGUAGUUGGAUUUCGGGUGGAAUGGCCGGUCCGCCGUUUCGGUGUGCACUUGCUACGCCCACCUUGCUGCCGGGGACGUGCUCUUGAGUUCACGCUCGGGACACGGAGUCGGCGAGGUUACUUUGAGUAAAUUAGAGUGUUCAAAGCAGGCCUACGCUCUGAAUACAUUAGCAUGGAAUAACACGAUAGGACUCUGGCCUAUCUUGUUGGUCUGUAGGACCGGAGUAAUGAUUAAGAGGGACAGUCGGGGGCAUUCGUAUUUCAUUGUCAGAGGUGAAAUUCUUGGAUUUAUGAAAGACGAACUACUGCGAAAGCAUUUGCCAAGGAUGUUUUCAUUAA